rnacentral:rRNA from 1 species
AUGCUCAGGACGAACGCUGGCGGCGUGCUUAACACAUGCAAGUCGAACGGUAAGGCCCCUUCGGGGGUACACGAGUGGCGAACGGGUGAGUAACACGUGGGUAAUCUGCCCUGCACUUCGGGAUAAGCCUGGGAAACUGGGUCUAAUACCGGAUAUGAACUCCUGCCGCAUGGUGGGGGUUGGAAAGUUUUUCGGUGCAGGAUGAGCCCGCGGCCUAUCAGCUUGUUGGUGGGGUAAUGGCCUACCAAGGCGACGACGGGUAGCCGGCCUGAGAGGGUGAUCGGCCACACUGGGACUGAGACACGGCCCAGACUCCUACGGGAGGCAGCAGUGGGGAAUAUUGCACAAUGGGCGAAAGCCUGAUGCAGCGACGCCGCGUGGGGGAUGACGGUCUUCGGAUUGUAAACCCCUUUCAGUAGGGACGAAGCGCAAGUGACGGUACCUGCAGAAGAAGCACCGGCUAACUACGUGCCAGCAGCCGCGGUAAUACGUAGGGUGCGAGCGUUGUCCGGAAUUACUGGGCGUAAAGAGCUCGUAGGCGGUUUGUCACGUCGUCUGUGAAAUCCCUCGGCUUAACCGGGGGCGUGCAGGCGAUACGGGCAGACUUGAGUACUACAGGGGAGACUGGAAUUCCUGGUGUAGCGGUGAAAUGCGCAGAUAUCAGGAGGAACACCGGUGGCGAAGGCGGGUCUCUGGGUAGUAACUGACG